rnacentral:lncRNA from 1 species
AUUGUAAUAAAAUUUUAUAUUGUUAUUAAUUUUCAACAGGGUAAUUGUUCUGUACAAGAACAACUAUAUAGAUACAGAGCAUGAUGUAACGUCAACAUUUGUCAAGAAAGUUUUUUCCUCCUGGGAUUUUACUAUCACAGAGAGAAAAGCUGCAAAUAUAAAACACAGGAGUAUAUAUAAUGAACUUACUGAGUUGCUACAGGAACUGCAAUGUGAAGACAUCGAUGAAGAUAUCUGUACCAGGACUAUAUGGUUCACUGUCAAACUGGUGUUUUGGGCAUUGAUCGUAGGAUUCUUAGCGCUGAUGGGUUGGGCAAUGUACCUAUUACUGGAUGAAGACAUUUCUUCAAGUGUGGAGGGUAGUGGUAUGCCUCUGCUUAUAUACCCUUUGAUUGUAACAGUCAUUAUGAUCAUUGUUCCUGCAUUGUUUGAAGGAUUGGUCAACAUUGAAGGAUACAAGAUCCCAAGACACAGGCUCUAUGUGACUCUAAUUCGGACCAUCUGUUU